rnacentral:lncRNA from 1 species
GUGAGAAAGGCCUCUGAGAACUGGAACUCACGUUGGGCCUCAACUACAGAGGGAAGAAGAGGAGGGACACCAGAAGUAGCAUGAACAGUAUGUAUAAAGGUCUAAGAACAGGAAGUAAGCCUGUUCUGCCCAAAAUAGAGAGCCAGGAAAUGGUAUGGGCACACGGUGCUCCCAGGGGGCUGUAACUGACUGUGUAGCCUGCCUUUCCUCCUGUGGGAAGCUCUCUUGAGAGCACUUCAGGAUGCAAGACAUCGGGCAACCAAGCAGCUGUGCUUCACAGUUGGACCACACCAAGCUUCUGCCUAUGCAGCCAAUACUAUCAGGGCAGCCCCACCAUCCACCAAGCGCCCUCAGUGAUCUACUGGUGCCACAUCAGGCCCCACCUCUCCACAUCUCCACACUGGAGCCCAAGCUUCCAAUGCCUUGGAAGACUCACUAAAACAAUAUCCAAACCAUGGCAUAUCUCUAGAAAAAUCUCUUCUUGUGGGCUGUGCCAUCAAUUGACUACCUAAGAGAAGUAGGACUUGCUUUCUGUUUCACCUAAAAGCCCCAUUCUUCACUCCACUGGAGACCCUUUUUCUGGAAUUCACGUGUCCUCCCUGGUCAGUAGCAAAGAUCAAACGCCGAAUCAUCAGCCAGUCCUUCUAUAUAAACAAACUAAGGCCCUGAGACAGAAAUGGCAUGGAGUACUACACAGCGAGCCACUGCCUUCCUCGCUCCAUCUGGUCCUCACCUCACUGUUUGCUCUCCACUGCGCCCCCCAGUGUGAGUCAAGACCCUCUGCCAAGCCCCAAGCUGAGCAAACAAAAGGGUAGGAGCCCAGCAGGUGAGCAGCCAAAUCCCAGCAGGCCAUGGGGCCAGACUAACAGCUCUGGGCAGACCGGGUGGGUGCAGAAAGCUCAGGACCUGGGGUACCCUUUCACCCCCUUGGGAAAGGAGACCAAGGGUUUGGGGGAGUCAGGGGAUGGAUUGUUUUUGUCAUCUCAAUAACAGCAGCACAAGGGGAAAGAGAUGGAAGAUAGAAGGCGAGGAAUAUUGCUUCAUACCUUACCUGGAAUGCUAUCAUUAAGAAAGCCUUUACUCCAGCCAGCCAUCACCCUCCCCACACUCCUUCAAAAUGCAAUUUCCAUCUCGCCCAAUCCAGAGCCCAUCAGCAGAGGACUGGUUAAAUAAGCAAUGCGCGGUGCAUAGCUCAGGACAUCAGUGGCCAUUAAAACGAAUGCGGGAUAGAUUUUUAAAAAAAUAACAAUGUCCAUGAUAUGUUGCUAGGUGAUAUAAGAAAAUUACUGAGCUGUGCUUCUGGAAAACGAAUAAAUAAAUAAAGUAAAUAAGUUGGUGCAUGCAUCCAGAAAAUAUCUGUAAAGGCAUACACUGAAAGUGGCUACCUCAUCUGGC